rnacentral:piRNA from 1 species
UGGGAUCAAAAGCUUUUUGACUGGAGAGA